GUUGAUUCCACCGUUAGCUGUGAAAGUGCUAAAAUAAAAGGGGAGUUGUGCUGGAAUUAGAGAUGUAAAAUAUCUGUAGCUGACACUAUAUCAUUGCAGCUGUAGGUAGGUGAUAAAUAAUAUACGCUUCAUGCUCUUAAAUGUUUGUGACAAGAUUUUUGUCAUUUGUAACACAGCUGUAUUCUCUGUUGAUGUGUAAUUUGGUAUUGCAUAUUAUGCUUUCUGUGAAAAUGCACUGGCAAUACAGACAGGUUUAUUACUUAACUUACAUUUACUUACAGUUGUUGCUUGAGUGCAAAAUAACAUAAAUAAAAC